ensembl:lncRNA
GACGAUGCUCAGGGAGUCUGGGUGCUCCAAUAAAUCAGUUUUCUAUUCUGGUUGUGGAUCCUGCAGGUCAGCAAACCCACCCUGAACCACCAUGACCAGUGUCAACUCUCCAGCCUGCGUGCUCGCCCGAAACCACUUCUACCGAAUUUUCUGCACCAGUUCAUCCUGUUAUACAACGACAAACCAGCAGCAACAACGGCUCUUCUGAUUGGCUGCCUCUCUCGAGCUGCAGGUGUGAUGAAGUGUUCAGAGCCACCUGAGCUCAUCAUCAGAAACUUUGUGUUUAACGUCAGGAAAUGAGCAAAGCAGAAGAAGAGCAGGUGUGCAUCAACAUUCACUCAGUCAUGUGUCACGGGUUAAAAAACAGUCGAGGGUAACGAGGGUAACGUUCGCCUGAGGCAGCAGGACGGACGCUUUGCUCCUCUGCAGCAGUGUGUUUGGAUCAGUGAGCAGAGAGAAAACAUCCACACUGAGCAUGCUCAGCCGCUUCGACGCCACAUGAGUCAGAGCGCGGGUCCACGUUGUUCGCCUGGGUCACGGGGUGACGAUGACAGCCGUGGGUAAAAAUGACGGACUCGACCACCGACACCAAACUAAUCUCAGAACAGCUGGUCGGUUCUGUCGCACGAAACGUGGUUUUCACCCGUCUGUCUGCUCUCCUCAGGUCUACCGCCGAGUCCAGAACCCACCAAGCCCGCACGCGGCUGUCAGGACAAGCAGAGACUGCCCACGCUUUGGGUUACCGUGGAAACAGCUCCAGGACUGCCGGGUCUCGUGGGAACCAAAGGAUUAUGGGUCAGCAUCAUCCUCAGCGCUUCUUCCUCCUCCUCCACCUCCAAACCAAGCAACCACAGAGCCAAGUAGAUGAAACAAGCGCACCUCACCCUGCAGGUCGUUCCUGUGAACGUCCACUCUUAAUAACAGGGCGGCGAUCCCCUGGGGACAAGCUCCUCCCCCGACUUCACCGUAGAAGGAAACGAACCACAUGUCGUGUCCAAAUUCAUGGGCUGCAUCCUCUUGAGGACCCGGCCUUCGCGGUCUACAUGGGCCGGGUCCUCAGAAGAUCGGGUAGGCCGGAAGUACGAGGUUGGGGAAAUUGGACGGUCCAGCCUUCUGAUUAGCGUCACCACUGCCUCGGUGGAGUUUAAUAAACUCGGCCGUCUGCUCCUUGCUAUCUAAAAUAUAACAGGACACUGGAGGAAACUCUCGACCGUCUCACACGUCUGUUUAAUCAGUUUUCUGUUUGACGUUUAUUCAGCUGUGUGAAAACCACCCGGGGGAUUAAUAAAGUUUUAUUUUAUCUAAACUAAUAACUUUGAUCUCAGCCAAACCGAUUUACUCACGAACAAACAAAACACUGAAAAAAGCCCAACAACAACAUUUUAGGUUGUCUAAGUGAAUUAUAUAUCCCGUUUAACCUGAGUAGUGAAACUCCGCGGUGAUCUGAAAAUGAUGUGCCGGAGUUGUGCCGUUCUCGGCCGCAUCGGUGACCCUCGAGCUCCCGGCUAGCUGUCGAGCUGGUGGGUAAAAGAUGUCUCUGAAAACGUCGAAGCACUUUUGCAAAUAUGCGAUAUCUUGAUAAACUGAGCAGAUAUUUGAAGUUUACACAGCUGAAAAUAUGUUCAAAGUUUAUUUUGUGACCCAGAAAGAUUAAUAAGAGUAAUUUUAAAACUUAGUGGCGGCUGCCAUCGUUGGAAACUGGAGUUUGGCUGGGCCGCGCUAUGAAUUCUGGGAUAUCGUGGGCCACGAAAGACACACCCGACCCCAAAUUCGUGGAAAAGGAGGACGCAUUUGUCGGCUGCAUUCAGAGGAGUCUACGAAUUUGGACAGCCUUCAUCGUGUCGCUGUGACGUAAUCGGUCCACAAAUGCGGCCUCAGGAGGACGCAGCCCAUGAAUUUGGACACGUCCACUGAGUGACCCUCCAGAACCAGGAGCAGGGCAUGGCUAAAAGAUGGGCGUGGUCUGAAAAAUGGUUCCUCAAACCAAAGAGUGAACUCGUUCCUGAUUGGUUUAUGGUUUUGUCGCUGUUUACAGGUCUCAGUGAAUAAAAUGUGAAAUUGGUGAAGUGAUGGUGAUGUUAGAGCAGGGCGCCCGGAUGAAGAGCCCCACACGGCCACAGAAGCUCGUCUCACUUCCUGUUUUAGUUCCUGUGAUAUUUGAGGCCACAUGUGCAAACUGUGACGAGGGCUUUAAUCUACACGUUCUGACUGCAUGUGUGACGAUUAUCACACUAAUUCCACACGCGUGAAUCUGCAGGUAAUUUAUAAAUCCAGUGACAGGUGUCUACAGGUAUGCACAGACAGGUAGACAUUUCCCCGUCGCAUCGGGUUGACGCUGAUAUUUCAUCAGGUAUUCGGCCUCCGGUGUGAGCUUUACGUCUCAAUCUGCUUCAACAAUGAAAUCAAAUAAAGUGCAACAGCUGAGCGAGCUUUCACCAGGUGUGCCGCACCUCUGUGUUGUGGAAAUGACAGUCUUCACUAGUGGGGAUAGUUACAAAGCUUUCUUCAUUAUGAAUUAGCAUACAUGUUUUUAUUGAACAUUUGAAGAACCAGCAAAAAAAACCCCAGAAACUCUUGUAGAGGACAAAGUCCGAGAUAGAAACGACACGGAGCAGGUGCAUCUAGUGCAGGUAAAACCCCACAGAGCUCAGCAGCCAGCGCAGCAAAUUCUGGAUCCUUGUCUUUUAGUGACUCACACUGAGGCUACGUCCACACGUACCCGGGUAUUUUUGAAAACGCAGAUUUUUCUAUGCGUUUGCACCUCCCGUCCACACGUAAACGGCGUUUUCGGUGACUGAAAACGGAGAUUUCUAAAAACUCCGGCCAGGGUGGAUAUUUAGAAACUCAGUUUUUGUAUUUACGUGUGGACGAGAAAACACAGCGUCAAAGAUGUGCGCCUUUUUUGAGGUCACACUGUGCGCCACGUUAUUGUUUAGGUGAAAUGAAUUUCUACAAUACUGUUAAUUCUACUCUCUGCAGUGUUUAAAUGCUUACAUAUACACACAGUUACUGUCCCUCCACACAUACGACUCGGUUCUGCUUCUAUGCCCCAGCUUUGUUUACUUUUUCCCACCGAGGCUUCUAGACUUCUGAUUGGCCAACAUUUCUACACGGUUAGGAAUCUAGCGCCACCUGCUGCUUUGGCAUGUUCCUAGCAGCGUUUUCCUUCUUUUCUGCGUUUACAUGUGGACGGGAUUAUUUUUUAAAACGAAAACGGAAAAUCUCAGCUUUCAAAAACACCUGUGUACGUGUGGACGUAGCCUGUGACCAGAGGUGGGACCAAGUCAUUGUUUUGCAAGUCUCAAGUAAGUCUCAAGUAAGUCUCAAGUCUUUAUCCUCAAGUCUCAAGUCAAGUCUCAAGUAAUGUCAGGCAAGUCAGAGUCGAGUCUCAAGUCUGAAACUUUGAAUUUCAAGUCCUUUCGAGUCUUUAAAAAAAAACAAAACGAAAAAAGCAUGUUGCAGUUAUGCUAAAUGUAAAUAUUAGACCAUGUAAUUUUAAAAGCUGUGUUUUUCUCAACACAUGACAAAAUAGUGAACUUAGAAAAUAUACACAAAUUGUGAAAUUGCACCUCUUUAAAAUGCAGCUCAAUUAAACCUAGCUCCAAGAAUAAUUUUCACCGACAGUUCUGAGAUAAGCUGCAUGUUAUUCUUGGAUGCGCUUGUAGGACCGGCUUUAAAAUCGCAUGACAAAAAUAUCAUACACAUUAAAAAAACUGCAUCACCAACGUAGCCUGGACAACAUUUGCUAGUUAGAUGAAGUCAGCUAUCUCAUCGUAGCAUAUUUAUAUGCAUAUUUAUAAUUAUACGGUUCUUGGAGUGAGUGCAUACACUCAUGAAGUUUAGUAACUUCAGGUCACUGCAACAAGCCCAGGUACAGUUUACCGACGGAUGGGUGCAGGACCUUGAAAUGCACCGUGUCGAACGAAAGACCAUCGUACGUAUCAUAAGUUUACCAGUCUCACAAAUCGUCAUCAUAAAUACACAUUCAUUAACCGUUUAUUAAUAGGACCUUUGAGAUCAACGGUAAUUAAUUAGUAGUGGAAAUAAUUUCUGGUACCUGAAGGAAACGGUUUCCAGGGCCUAAUCCGUGGAUCGACUUCCUUCGAGGCGUGGACGUCUAUCAGCAGAGAAUGUCCCUUAGUCUGUAACACAGUCAAAUAUAUUCUCAAGUAAUAUUCAAGCAUGCCAUUCAGUGUGUUAGUACGAGCUCGGGAGCAGCUUGGGAGAACAAGAAAACAGAGACUGCUUUAGAUUGUCUUCCCAAAGUGACUCAACUUUAUUCACAAGUACAACAGUUUAUAUAGAGGGUAAAAUUCAUGAGACAGCAGAUUUAUCAGUUUAAACCAGUACAGACCAAGAUAAGGCAGUGUCUUCCUGCCCUUGGGUGAAGAAGCAUCCUUUGUGUAGUGUAUCAGUUCAGCUACAAUUGUGAUUAUCUCAGCGACAUAUUUUCAAGGCACAAAACGAAGAGUUCUUUCAUUAGUGAAAUCUGAAACAAACCAUUUGGCCUUCAACAGGCGUCUAAAAGAUUAAGAAACUAAUGUAGCUGAGGGAGUGAUCUCUGUGGUAUUUCAACCUUGUACCAGCCUGUGAUUCUCACACAUCAAUUCUUGGGUCAAAGAGAAAAAUAACUAAAACAAAGGGGCCUUAUUGAAUGACAGAGUUUUCCUGUAUAAUGUCACUAUAAAACAAUAUCCAGUAAAUGCUCCCAUGGUACUAAAAUACCUAACAGUACCCAUCACAGAAAUGUAGCAGUGACAAUAAUAUUGUAUGCUGUAAUCGUACUGGGCAAUUAGUGAUACAAAAAACCUGUUUUAUCCUGUGAAUAAAAGUAUAUGUGUUUGUCAAUGUACCAUAAUAACAGAAGCGAAACGCAAUAUUGUGUCAGGACAAUUCACUAUUUAUGCACAAUAAAUAAAGGAGCAUAGCGCGACAAUUUCUGUUCAGCGCCAGACUUGCUUGUAACCUA